AACGAACGCUGGCGGCAUGCCUAACACAUGCAAGUCGAACGAGACCUUCGGGUCUAGUGGCGCACGGGUGCGUAACGCGUGGGAAUCUGCCCUUGGGUUCGGAAUAACAGUUGGAAACGACUGCUAAUACCGGAUGAUGACGUAAGUCCAAAGAUUUAUCGCCCAAGGAUGAGCCCGCGUAGGAUUAGCUAGUUGGUGAGGUAAAGGCUCACCAAGGCGACGAUCCUUAGCUGGUCUGAGAGGACGAUCAGCCACACUGGGACUGAGACACGGCCCAGACUCCUACGGGAGGCAGCAGUGGGGAAUAUUGGACAAUGGGCGAAAGCCUGAUCCAGCAAUGCCGCGUGAGUGAUGAAGGCCUUAGGGCUGUAAAGCUCUUUUACCCGGGAUGAUAAUGACAGUACCGGGAGAAUAAGCUCCGGCUAACUCCGUG
rnacentral:rRNA from 1 species